AUUGAACGCUGGCGGCAUGCCUUACACAUGCAAGUCGAACGGUAACGCGGGGCAACCUGGCGACGAGUGGCGAACGGGUGAGUAAUGCAUCGGAACGUGCCUGGUAGUGGGGGAUAACUGCUCGAAAGAGCAGCUAAUACCGCAUACGACCCGAGGGUGAAAGGGGGGGAUCGCAAGACCUCUCGCUAUCAGAGCGGCCGAUGUCGGAUUAGCUAGUUGGUGGGGUAAAGGCCCACCAAGGCGACGAUCCGUAGCUGGUCUGAGAGGACGACCAGCCACACUGGGACUGAGACACGGCCCAGACUCCUACGGGAGGCAGCAGUGGGGAAUUUUGGACAAUGGACGCAAGUCUGAUCCAGCCAUGCCGCGUGCGGGAAGAAGGCCUUCGGGUUGUAAACCGCUUUUGUCAGGGAAGAAAUCUUCUGGGUUAAUACCUCGGGAGGAUGACGGUACCUGAAGAAUAAGCACCGGCUAACUACGUGCCAGCAGCCGCCGUAAUAC
rnacentral:rRNA from 1 species